ACUGUGGUUUACAGAAAUUAUGCAAAGAGACAAUUGAAUCUUAUUUUCUGCCCUCAGAUACCUGACCUGCUCUAGGAUUACAAAAAUCCACAUUCCUGUUACAUGACAGAGGUCAGAAUUUACUGGCAUCAAUGGCAGCUGCUGCAGAGAGCAAAGCACUGAGGCAGGGCUUGAUGGCAGCGGGGCUGCUCCCGCACCGCACUUCCCGGGUGGUGAUGAUGUGUGAAAUAGUGUCCUCUGCUGCACGAACCGACACAGUGCGCCUACUCUGAGUUGCCCCGCAGGAAGACAGACUGGAGGAGGAAAGCUUGAACAACAAUAAAUCCUGAUCUAAAGGUAACAUUUUCCCUGUUAACCUGAAUAUGAUUUAUCUUAAUAACUAAAUCGGCUGACAAAAACAGAUGCCUUGAAUGGCGGCUUGGUCCAUUGCAAAAGCCUGUGACAGCUGUUGAUAUUGUUCCUGAGUAUUGUCUCUUUCAGAAGAAUAAAGGGGGUGGUUACAUACUGCUUACAGUGUUCUUAAGUUGAAACUAAGGACAUUUCACACUUCAGAACCACCUGAGCAGUGUGGAGAAGCUCAGUUCUGACUUCAGGUGCUGGACAUCCAGGGAGGCUGGUAGCCCUGACUUUAUGGUGACUAACUCAGCUUAAAUUCACUGAACUUACAAUCGUUACACAAGCCACGACAACAGAAAGCAAGAGCCAUUACAGUGGAUUUAGGUGUUAAUGAAAGCAGUGUUUUAAAUAGUGUUGGCUACUGCCUGUGCAGUACAAUAUACAGUAGCACUUUAUAACCUAACUCGGCCAUGGAGCAUUUCUCCUGCCCCAUUUUGUUGUUUCCUUCCAAAGACUUGUGCAGAUUACAUCACAUGAUGGUUCACUGAUGCACAAUAAAACAUGAAUUACUUUUCAAACUUUAUUCAAAACAAAAUGUGACAUUUACUUGGCUUUUGUACCUCUCAGAGUACUAUAGGAACAAUGAGCAGGCAUUCUUACAUCCCUUUUAUGCAAACUGGGACAGAGAGAGGUAUUAGAAAAGUGUCCUCUUUAUCAAACUUACUCCAGCUUUCCUACAUCUAUUGCUACUCUGGAUAAAUUCUUUAACUUUAGGAAGAUAGGUUUGAGUGGAUGAAAUAAAUUCUUGAAUUAAUCCAGGCUUUUUAUUUUUUUUUAAUAAUAUUACUGAUGGCCCAUUAUUAGUAAUUGACUUCACCAUCAAAUAGCUGACAACCAGCCUGAGCUUACACAAUUAGCAGGAAAUGUCAUGUCUUUGUGGUCUCUCUCAGAUUUUUUCCAGUUCUGAUGAUGUUAUAUUGGAGCAUUCUCUUGAUUAUUUGUUUUUUUAACUUUCAGAAUUUGAGAGUCCCAGUAUGAAUAUGACAUAAUUUCUUUUCUAAGUUUCUUUAUUCAUGGUCUGGACCACUUUCUUGACAGCUGUAAGAAGAGAGUAUCCUUCUCUUUAACUUGACUGCUGAUAUUUCUUUUUUAUAAGGCAAAUUAUAAAUAAAUUAUACUUAGGGGAAUUGAUUUGUAGGUGGAGUUCCCUGACACUUAAUAGAUAGUGGAAGCAAUAUGAGUCCAUUGACCUGAGAAAGAAUAUUCUAGGAAGUAUAUGUUAUGAAUGAGCUUGCAGUACAAUAUGACAACUCAGUGAUUUACCUUGGAUGGAGGCAGAUCACGUAUCACAAAUGGAUGUAAUCACAGUCAUGCUAUUUACUGGCUGUCGUGCUGCUCUUGAAAGACUGGGGUGAAGUGAAGUUUUCUUCUCGAGUUGUUGCAGGUAUUUUGCUGUAACAAAAUUGAGUGGAAUGCAUUCCCUUUACCACACUAUUUCUGCACUGAGAAUGUUACUGUUUUGGGAACCAGGUAUUUUAUAAAAAUAAGUUUUGAAAACAAAACAAACUACCUGUUCUAGUCAGCAUCUUUGUAUGUACAAGCCUAUUGCCUUAUGCAUUUAUGCUUAGAUUUUGUUGAUGCUGAUCAAGCAGUAUUUUGAAAGAUAUGUCAGAAGAUUUUCAAAAAUCAAAUUUUGACCAUUUUCUAAGAAAAACCGAAUGCAGUGGGUAAUAUAAUCUUUGAUCAUAACACUCUAAAUGAUAAGAGGAAAUGUAUCCUUAUGUUUUAAGGGUUAAGUGACAAUUUUUGAACUAGAUGUAGUUUUAUUAAGAACAAAAUACAUUUUUGUGGCCUGAAAGAUGCUUGGAGGCUUUUAGAGGAAAGUUUAUCACCAUAUCAAGUAGCAAACAAUACAGAAGAAGACAGACUAUCAAAUGAAGCAAGAAAUAACACCAUUAUGUAAGAUGUCAAAAAUCUCUGCUAUAUUUGACAUAGUGAGGAAUAUGAUUGGACUGUUUGAUAUUUUCUGUUUGACCUUUUUACUCAAUAAAUUUGUGCAAGUUU